GAGAAGCUCUCUCAGUAUGGAUCUGCUGGACCACUUUGACAUAGAUUUUGUCAUUUGGCUCAGCACCAAUCUCUGUUAAGAAAGGAAAAAGAAGGAGAUUUAAGGAGAGCCCAACACUACUUUCCGUCUGCAAAAAGGGUCACAAUCCUGGGACAUCUCAUCUCGAGUGCUCACGGUCAUGGAUCAUAGGAUCUCGGCUGAACUGUGGGUUCACAUUUCUAAUCAGCACAGGAAUGCUAACUGUACAUGCCAGGGAUUAAGACCACAACCAACACACAACGGCCACAGUCCCAGGAAAGGACGGACAGAAAGCCUCACUAGAGAGACAGUGCACCAAGCCCAGGUGCCUGCUGUGUGUCUGUACCUCUCUUGGGUGCUGUGCCACACUGGGCGCUUCUGCCUUGCCUUUCUGCAAGGCUGCGCUUUGCUGGAAGGCCGCUCGCAUCAGCUUCUGGCAGAAAGGAGACAAGAAAGACAUGAAGAGCAUCUCUGUGGCGGAAGAUUUGAGCACAGCCAACCACAAACUUCUGGUCUUCAAGAGCAGUUUCUUCAGCUUGCCCUUUCUGCUGCUACAACAUUAUGCCGCUUCUGCAGUCAGCACAGCUCGCAAGAGCUUCUUACCUGCGGAGGCUUUGCGUUUCCAGCCUUGCCCAGCACCACUCCAUGGACGCGCAGGCUCCGUCCCUACAACAACAGAUGGUGUGUUGAUUUCACAGACACCAGCAGGCAGCAGAAGUACUGCCCAGUAUGCCCACGUCCCCCAGAAAACAGAAAGAGGCUACUUUGACAGCCCAAACACAAACCGAUUGAUAGUUCACUUCUCACUGCUCCUUCCUGCACUCCAAAUGGAUGCUCACUUGACAUCCCCUGCAGCGCUGCACCCGCCCAGAAGGAAUACUCAAAAUUCAUUCCUCCACACUUCACGACAGAGGGCUGAAGAAACUCACUUCUGUAUGGCAUGAAGGACCGUCCGUCCCUGUUGCGUCCCUCUGUGCGCUGGAAGGCGCGGUCGGAUCUCUGGCAGCCUGCUGGCUGCUGCUCCCAACCGCGGGGAACCGCGCCGCGCCGCUUCUGAAGAGAGAAAGGAAGAAACGGUGGUGGGAACGGGCAGCCAAGGCUUGCAGAGAGGUUCCAGAUCGUGCCAGAGAGGGGAUAUCAGAGUGCUGAGACACUGAUUAUCACUAAGGGAAAAGACGGCCUGAGCCACGUCCGCGUUGUUAGCCCAGGCUGUCAGCAGUGAGCGCUGAAUGCAACCGGUUACUGAGGUCACCAAGGACCAGCAGGGCUCCCCCUGCUCCGUCCCUUCCCCUUGAGAACAAGAGAAAGGAAGAACCAAGCAGAAGAAGCCCAGCCAUACCUUGCCACUCAGACGGCAGCAAUUGGAACCGCGGUCGUCUCCGUGCUGAGACAUGGCCGCUGAAGGCUCAGAGGAUGAUGAAGUUCCCAGGCCUCUGUGCACAGGAACUUCCCCGGCCCUUGCAAAGAGCUGGCUUCCCUCUUCCUGCGACUGCCUCGAUCCCAAAAAUCUCCCUUGGGACAGGAACCCUGCAGAGAGUACCGACGAGUGCACACGCGGUGCUUCUGACGGGCUCUCACAGGGUGAUCUGUUCCACGGAAGGCCCAGAGCUCAGCCUCGGUGUGCAGCACGCUCACCAGAGCACCAGCUCUGCUCACCAGCUGUGGCGGAAACGCUGCCACCCCAGCAGUGAUUGUGACCUCAGCGAGUGCCCGCAUCGCUUCCGUGCUUUCAUCAUAAGCGAAGGAAAUGGACGACUCCCAGAUCCACAUCUUAGGAAACCAACACCAGGGUCACCCAAUGGGGUUUUUUGAAUAAUGGAGAAGUGAAGAUGACUGUUGUGCAGCCCAGUAAAAACCAGUCAAG
rnacentral:lncRNA from 7 species